GACGAACGCUGGCGGCGUGCUUAACACAUGCAAGUCGAACGGAAAGGCCCUGCUUGUGUGGGGUGCUCGAGUGGCGAACGGGUGAGUAACACGUGAGUAACCUGCCCUUGACUUUGGGAUAACUUCAGGAAACUGGGGCUAAUACCGGGUAGGAGCUCCUGCUGCAUGGUGGGGGUUGGAAAGUUUCGGCGGGUGGGGAUGGACUCGCGGCUUAUCAGCUUGUUGGUGGGGUAGUGGCUUACCAAGGCUUUGACGGGUAGCCGGCCUGAGAGGGUGACCGGCCACAUGGGGACUGAGAUACGGCCCAGACUCCUACGGGAGGCAGCAGUGGGGAAUAUUGCACAAUGGGCGGAAGCGUGAUGCGGCAACGCCGCGUGCGGGAUGACGGCCUUCGGGUUGUAAACCGCUUUCGCCUGUGACGACGCGUGAGUGACGGUAAUGGGUAAAGAAGCACCGGCUAACUACGUG
rnacentral:rRNA from 1 species